UAGGGAAUCUUCGGCAAUGGACGAAAGUCUGACCGAGCAACGCCGCGUGAGUGAAGAAGGUUUUCGGAUCGUAAAACUCUGUUGUUAGAGAAGAACAAGGACGUUAGUAACUGAACGUCCCCUGACGGUAUCUAACCAGAAAGCCACGGCUAACUACGUGCCAGCAGCCGCGGUAAUACGUAGGUGGCAAGCGUUGUCCGGAUUUAUUGGGCGUAAAGCGAGCGCAGGCGGUUUCUUAAGUCUGAUGUGAAAGCCCCCGGCUCAACCGGGGAGGAUCAUUGGAAACUGGGAGACUUGAGUGCAGAAGAGGAGAGUGGAAUUCCAUGUGUAGCGGUGAAAUGCGUAGAUAUAUGGAGGAACACCAGUGGCGAAGGCGGCUCUCUGGUCUGUAACUGACGCUGAGGCUCGAAAGCGUGGGGAGCAAACAGG
rnacentral:rRNA from 1 species